rnacentral:rRNA from 1 species
AGGUGUGAUCAUACCAGCACUAAUGCACUGGAUCCCAUCAGAACUCCGCAGAGAAGCGUUCUUGGGCGAGAGUAGUACUAGGAUGGGUGACCUCCUGGGAAGUCCUCGUGUUGCACUUC